CAUUUACAUUCUGUGUUAAUAUUGAUGUGUAUGAGUUUGAUCUCGCUAUCAUGUUGUUAGCAUUUGAUUGCCUGAAAAGGAUCUUAUUUCUUUUUCACGUAUGACAUUCAGUUUGGCUGGAUAUGAAAUUCUUGGCUGGAAAUUUUUUUCUUUAGGAAUGCUGAAUAUAGGCCUCCCCCUGCCCCACCCCCGAUCUCUUCUGGCUUGUAGGAUUUCUGCUGACAGGUCCACUUUUAGCCUGAUGGGUGGGAUUCUUUUUGUAGGUGACCUGCACAUUCUCUCUAGUUACCUUUAUCAUUUUUUCUUACAUGUUGACUUUUGAAAAUCUGAUGAUUAUGUGUCUUGGUUUUAUCUUCUUGUAUAAUACCUUUCAGGGGCUCUGUGUAUUUCUUGGAUUUGAAUGUUGUCCUCUCUAGUGAGGUUGGGUAAGUUUUCAUCAGUGAUACAGUGAAAUAUGUUUUCCAGGUUGCUUGCUUUUCCCCCGCCUCUUUCAGGAAUACCAAUAAGUCAUAGAUUUGACCUCUAGCUAACCCCAAAUUUCUCAGUUUUUUUUUCAUUUUUUAUUUUUGUUUUUGUCUGAUUGAUUUAUUUUAGAGAGCCACAGGCAUGGAUAGAGUUGCUUGCCCUGCUUUCUGUGUGUUUCCAGGGCAGCAGGAGGCAAAUUCAGGCAGAAGUAGGACUACUGAGUUAGAAGCUCUAGCAGGCAUGGCUCGCCUUGCUACCAGAAGUGGGGGUGGGUGGGGAUGCCUGGUCUAUAGUCUAGAUGCUUCCUGGGACAACAGGAAGAUGCACCCUAUCGCUGAGUUUACACAGAAGCGUGGCCACUGGGCUGGAAGCUCUAGAAGGUGUUGCCAAUAUGUGUUUCCAUGGGAGGGGUGGGUGGAGUCACCUGCUCAGCUCUCUGGGUAUUUCCUGGGAAAGCAGGAGGCUGCACCCUCCAGCUGAGUUCACACAAAAGCAGGACUGCUGGGCUGGAAGCUCUAGGAAGCCUCACCUACCUGGCUACCAGUGGUGGGGGUGGGUGGAGUGGCCAGCCGAGUUUGGCCCAAAGUGGGCCUGCUAGUCCGGAAGCUGGCCUUGAGCCCCAUCUGGCAAGAAGACAUGGAUAAAUCGUACAGCUCCCAGGUACUGCAACUGUGGUUUUUACUGAGGCAGUGGCAUUGGUACUGGUCUGCCCUUGGGCCCAAGGCUUGUAGAGGUCCCCGUGGACGCAAGAGUUGCCCCCACAAAAUGUCCCAGUGGCUCCUCCUUCAGUCUAGAAAUGUGGUAGAGUUGGUGGGGGCCCAGGGGGUUUCUCCCAUUCCUAGUCUUGCACAGGUCCCUGUGGAGAGCUGAAUCCCCCUAAGGGGCUCUCACCCUUUCCCAUGUUGGAAAAUGGUUCACUUACUCAACCUUUCCCAUAUUGAAAGGUUCUCCUGGCUCUGCACUGAGCCCAGACAUGCUGGUGUCCCACCUCACUCAUCUCUGCUCUUUGUGUUACCCUGCUGCCUUGAUGGAUCAUAACGUGGUUUCUCAGAUGAUCGGCCUGCAGGGUCAAUGUUUACUAGCCCCUUUUGUUUCUGAUCUGUGAGAAUGGUGCAUAUGAGAUGCUUCUAGUCUGCCGUCUUGUCCAAAUAUCCUAAAAUUUUAAAUAAUUUUUAACUGUUAAUUUUUUCCCUUACUUUCUUGUAUAAAAUGAUCUUGUACUGGUGCGCAGGCGCCUGGCAGUUAUUGGUCUCACCAUGGAGCGGAAAGUGUUUGCGCUCCAGGCCUGAAAGAGAAGGACCAUACCCAAGAAGGACAAAGCCCAAAAGGAAUCUGAAACUCAGCACCGAGGCUCUGCUCUCCACUCCGAGAGUGAUCUACCAGAGCAGGAAGAGGAGAUUCUGGGAUCUGAUGAUGAUGAGCAAGAAGAUCCUAAUGAUUAUUGUAAAGGAGGUUAUCAUCUUGUGAAAAUUGGAGAUCUAUUCAACGGGAGCUAUCACGUGAUCCAAAAGUUAGGCUGGGGACACUUUUCAAUGGUAUGGUUAUCAUGGGAUAUUCACGGGAAGAAAUUUGUGGCAAUGAAAGUAGUUAAAAGUGCUGAACAUUACACUGAAACAGCACUAGAUGAAAUCCGGUUGCUGAAGUCAGCUCGUAAUUCAGAUCCUAAUGAUCCAAAUAGAGAAAUGGUUGUACAACUACUAGAUGACUUUAAAAUAUCAGGAGUUAAUGGAACACGUAUCUGCAUGGUAUUUGAAGUUUUGGGGCAUCAUCUGCUCAAGUGGAUCACCAAGUCCAAUUAUCAGGGGCUUCCACUGCCUUGCGUCAAAAAAAUUAUUCAGCAAGUUGUUACAGAGUCUUGAUUAUUUACAUAGCAAGUGCCGUAUCAUCCACACUGACAUUAAACCAGAGAACAUCUUAUUGUCAGUGAAUGAGCAGUACUUUCGGAGGCUGGCUGCAGAAGAAACAGAAUGGCAGCAGUCUGGAGCUCCUCCACCUUCUGGAUCUGCAGUCAGUACUUCUCCCCAACCUAAACCAGCUGACAAAAUGUCAAAGAAGAAGAAGAAGAAAUUGAAGAAGAAGCAGAAGCGCCAGGCAGAAUUACUAGAGAAGUGAAUGCAGGAAAUUGAGGAAAUGGAGAGAGUCGGACCCUGGGCAAAAAAGACCAAACAAGCAAGAAGAAUCAGAGAGUCCUGUUGAAAGACCCUUGAAAGAGAACCCACCUAAUAAAAUGACCCAAGAAAAACUUGAAUAGUCAAGUACCAUUGGCCAGGAUCAAACACUUAUGGAACGUGAUACAGAGGGUGGUGCAGCAGAAAUUAAUUGCAAUGGAGUGAUUGAAGUCAUUAAUUAUAGUCAGAACAGUAAUAAUGAAACAUUGAGGCAUAAAGAGGAUCUACAUAAUGCUAAUGACCGUGAUGUCCAAAAUUUGAAUCAGGAAUCUAGUUUCCUAAGCUCCCAAAAUGGAGACAGUAGCACAUCUCAAGAAACAGACUCCUGUACACCUAUAACAUCUGAGGUGUCAGACUCCAUGGUGUACCAGUCUUCCUCAACUAUAGAUUAGUCAUUCAGUGAACAGUACAUUAGCCAACUUCAAGAAAGCAUUCGGUCAGAGAUACCCUGUGAAGAUGAACAAGAGCAAGAACAUAAUGGACCAUUGGACAACAAACGAAAAUCCACGGCUGGAAAUUUUCUUGUUAAUUCCCUUGAGCCAAAAAAUGCAGAAAAGUUCAAGGUGAAGAUUGCUGAUCUUGGAAAUGCUUGUUGAGUGCACAAACAUUUCACUGAAGAUAUUCAAACGAGGCAAUAUCAUUCCUUGGAAGUUCUAAUAGGAUCUGGCUGUGAUACCCCUGCUGACAUUUGGAGCAUGACAUGCAUGACCUUUGAACUGGCCACAGAUGCCUAUUUGUUUGAACCUCAUUCAGGGGAAGAGUACACUCAAGAUGAAGAUCACAUUGCAUUGAUCAUGGAACUUCUAGGGAAGGUGCCUUGCAAGCUCAUUGUGGCAGGACAAUAUUCCAAGGAAUUUUUCACCAAAAAAGGUGACCUGAAACGUAUCACGAAGCUGAAACCUUGGGGCCUUUUUGAGGUUCUAGUAGAGAAGUAUGAGUGGUCUCAGGAAGAGGCAGCUGACUUCACAGAUUUCUUACUGCCCAUGUUGGAGUUGAUCCCUGAGAAGAGAGCCACUGCCACUGAGUGUCUCCGCCACCCUUGGCUUAACUCCUAAGCCCCUGGCCAGCACCACAGCAGAGAUCACACACUGACCCUCAGCCCUUCCCCUCCAAGCAUUUUCCUCUUCCCUUUUUAGGGUGAAGC